rnacentral:rRNA from 1 species
UAGGGAAAGUUUUUCGGUGUAGGAUGAGACUAUAUAGUAUCAGCUAGUUGGUAAGGUAAUGGCUUACCAAGGCUAUGACGCUUAACUGGUCUGAGAGGAUGAUCAGUCACACUGGAACUGAGACACGGUCCAGACUCCUACGGGAGGCAGCAGUAGGGAAUAUUGCGCAAUGGGGGAAACCCUGACGCAGCAACGCCGCGUGGAGGAUGACACUUUUCGGAGCGUAAACUCCUUUUCUUAGGGAAGAAUUCUGACGGUACCUAAGGAAUAAGCACCGGCUAACUCCGUGCCAGCAGCCGCGGUAAUACGGAGGGUGCAAGCGUUACUCGGAAUCACUGGGCGUAAAGGGCGCGUAGGCGGAUUAUCAAGUCUCUUGUGAAAUCUAAUGGCUUAACCAUUAAACUGCUUGGGAAACUGAUAGUCUAGAGUGAGGGAGAGGCAGAUGGAAUUGGUGGUGUAGGGGUAAAAUCCGUAGAUAUCACCAAGAAUACCCAUUGCGAAGGCGAUCUGCUGGAACUCAACUGACGCUAAGGCGCGAAAGCGUGGGGAGCAAACAGGAUUAGAUACCCUGGUAGUCCACGCCCUAAACGAUGUACACUAGUUGUUGGGGUGCUAGUCAUCUCAGUAAUGCAGCUAACGCAUUAAGUGUACCGCCUGGGGAGUACGGUCGCAAGAUUAAAACUCAAAGGAAUAGACGGGGACCCGCACAAGCGGUGGAGCAUGUGGUUUAAUUCGAAGAUACGCGAAGAACCUUACCUGGGCUUGAUAUCCUAAGAACCUUUUAGAGAUAAGAGGGUGCUAGCUUGCUAGAACUUAGAGACAGGUGCUGCACGGCUGUCGUCAGCUCGUGUCGUGAGAUGUUGGGUUAAGUCCCGCAACGAGCGCAACCCACGUAUUUAGUUGCUAACGGUUCGGCCGAGCACUCUAAAUAGACUGCCUUCGUAAGGAGGAGGAAGGUGUGGACGACGUCAAGUCAUCAUGGCCCUUAUGCCCAGGGCGACACACGUGCUACAAUGGCAUAUACAAUGAGACGCAAUACCGCGAGGUGGAGCAAAUCUAUAAAAUAUGUCCCAGUUCAGAUUGUUCUCUGCAACUCGAGAGCAUGAAGCCGGAAUCGCUAGUAAUCGUAGAUCAGCCAUGCUACGGUGAAUACGUUCCCGGGUCUUGUACUCACCGCCCGUCACACCAUGGGAGUUGAUUUCACUCGAAGCCGGAAUACUAAACUAGUUACCGUCCACAGUGGAAUCAGCGACUGGGGUGAAGUCGUAACAAGGUAACCGUAGGAGAACCUGCGGUUGGAUCACCUCCUUUCUA